rnacentral:rRNA from 1 species
UGGGGAAUAUUGCGCAAUGGGCGGAAGCCUGACGCAGCAACGCCGCGUGAGUGAUGAAGGCCUUCGGGUUGUAAAGCUCUGUCUUCUGGGACGAUAAUGACGGUACCAGAGGAGGAAGCCACGGCUAACUACGCGCCAGCAGCCGCGGUAAUACGUAGGUGGCAAGCGUUGUCCGGAUUUACUGGGCGUAAAGGAUGCGUAGGCGGAUACUUAAGUCAGAUGUGAAAAUCCCGGGCUUAACUUGGGAACUGCAUUUGAAACUGGGUAUCUAGAGUGCGGGAGAGGAAAGUGGAAUUCCUAGUGUAGCGGUGAAAUGCGUAGAGAUUAGGAAGAACACCAGUGGCGAAGGCGACUUUCUGGACCGUAACUGACGCUGAGGCAUGAAGGCGUGGGGAGCAAACA